GCGAGCGCGCAUAGCGAUUGUGUCGCCUCACUUGGCCGUCGCCGCCGAUUCAGUGGCUCUGUAUCGAACAGUUUGCCAGCGAUUGUCGUGUGAAAAAGACGUGCUAACGGGAAAAAUCGGUAACGGUAUAACGUCGAACGUUUUACGCUCGGUCGCGUCGUGCAGUUUUCCUCUGGAUUUUUUUCCAGCUCCGCAAUUAAAUGGACAAGAAAAGUGAAAAACGCAAUGGAUUUCGUGAUAGAUUGUUUUAGUGUCGAAUGAAAAUCGAUGGCGUUCGUUUUGAUGAGAAUUUAAAAGUGCGUAGAAAAUUCCAAGAGAAAGAUUUUCAAAUGAAACGAGGAUACAGUUGAAUUAAGUACAGCCAAAAACACAAGAAAAAAAGAAAAAUAAAAAACGAUUGAAAACUGUCUAAAAUGUCUGUAAAAAAAAUAGUGGCAGCGUUAAACGAGAGCAAAUCCAACAGUGUAGGACGCAAUAAUAAAUAAAAAAAUUCUUCGAAAAAACUCAAAGAAAAAGUAUUAGUGAAAUUUAAUUUUUAAACUUAAAUUCAAAACUCGCGAAAACCUACAUAAUUCGAAAAUUAAAAAUAUUAACAAAAUAAAAGCCAGCCAUACGAAAGACAAAUAAAUAUGCGCAUACCACAUAGCAACCACACAGCGCCAACUACGCCCUACGCUAUGCAAGCAAAGCGCUACGAUCAGCAAUUUAACUAUUUGCCGAACACAGUCUGUUUGCAUUAAAUAUUUGCUUCAAAUGUGCAACUGAGUGUAUGUAUGCAUUUCCGGUCAAUGCACUGUUUAGUAAUAAAUAACCUCAUACAACAGACCAAUCUGCGCCAACUUAAUAAGUUAACUGAUACUAUCGAGCUGAGGAAAGUAAUUUUAUGAGCAAAUGUGGGAGUAAGCUUUUAUUGAAAAUUAAAAGCAAAAAGCUAAAUGCAAAUAAAUUCCAUUGUAUAUUGUGCAGAAUACAUUCUACAGCAAGUGGAAAAUAAUAACAUUGAAUAAGCAGUUAUACAAACAAAAUAAGAAAAAAAAACAGCAAAGUAGGUCACUGUGGGAAGAGUAAGUAAAACAAAAGUGAAUUAACGGCAGCAAAAAGUGAAAAGGGAAAAAAUUCAGUAUUAAAAACUACUUCUAUAGGCGGUGUAAGCUAAUAAAUACCGUUACAAAUAAAAAUUACUGUAACAAAGAAAAUUGCUUAUUAAAAAAAAUAAAUCGGCAUUGAAUGUGAGUGCCAUAAGGCUUACAAAAAAAGAGGAAACAAAGAACAAAAAAAACUAUAUUAAUUAAAAUUAUAACCGAGUAACACAAAAAAGAAUCCCCACAGCAAAUACGUUCAAUGCAAAUAUCCUGGGAACAGCAGUAAUCCCCUCCAAUAACCCGUACUUUCGCCGCAGCAGAAAAAUAAAAUAAAUAAGCUCAACUAGCCACCACUAAAACUCCCAUCAAUUACGCUCUACACUCCAAACACUCGCUCGCAUUCACACUGCUGCAGCACCUCCUUCAUCUACACAGCACUUAAGCAUCGCUCAGCCCGCCGCACCUUCCGAACUUCAAGCCAAUAUGCCGCCUACUCAACUCAUCGUCAAGAGUGCACUCAAAACUACUAUCCACUGAACGCAGACAUAAAAGGGCGGCACAUCUCCGCAAGCAUCAUACGGCAAGCGUUCUAGCUGCAGCAGUCAUUUAUUACCAGACAUAGAAAAAGCAAAGACAAAAAAAAAUAAAUAAAAAAUAAAAUCGUUGCAUACUUUUCUGCUUAUACUCUGUAUUUACUCGUCUCAUAUCCUGCCUUCCUCUCGGGACUCUUGACACUCUUUGGGCGCUGCGCGUGGAGUGGAAUAAAGAAUUAAAGAAGCAACACACACAAGGAUAAUUUCAAAAAGGUA
rnacentral:lncRNA from 1 species